AGCGAACGCUGGCGGCAGGCCUAACACAUGCAAGUCGAACGAAGUCUUCGGACUUAGUGGCGGACGGGUGAGUAACACGUGGGAACGUGCCUUUAGGUUCGGAAUAACUCAGGGAAACUUGUGCUAAUACCGAAUGUGUCCUUCGGGGGAAAGAUUUAUCGCCUUUAGAGCGGCCCGCGUCUGAUUAGCUAGUUGGUGAGGUAAAGGCUCACCAAGGCGACGAUCAGUAGCCGAUCUGAGAGGAUGAUCAGCCACAUUGGGACUGAGACACGGCCCAAACUCCUACGGGAGGCAGCAGUGGGGAAUCUUGCGCAAUGGGCGAAAGCCUGACGCAGCCAUGCCGCGUGAAUGAUGAAGGUCUUAGGAUUGUAAAAUUCUUUCACCGGGGACGAUAAUGACGGUACCCGGAGAAGAAGCCCCGGCUAACUUCGUGCCAGCCGCCGCAGUAAGAC
rnacentral:rRNA from 1 species